AUUGAACGCUGGCGGCAGGCUUAACACAUGCAAGUCGAGCGGGGACUUCGGUCCUAGCGGCGAACGGGUGAGGAAUGCUUGGGAAUCUGCCUGGUAGUGGGGGAUAACGUUUCGAAAGGAACGCUAAUACCGCAUACGUCCUACGGGAGAAAGGGGGGGAUCUUCGGACCUCUCGCUAUCAGAUGAGCCCAAGUCGGAUUAGCUAGUUGGUGAGGUAAAGGCUCACCAAGGCGACGAUCCGUAGCUGGUCUGAGAGGAUGAUCAGCCACACGGGAACUGAGACAAGGUCCAGACACCUACGGGAGGCAGCAGUGGGGAAUAUUGGACAAUGGGCGAAAGCCUGAUCCAGCCAUGCCGCGUGUGUGAAGAAGGCCUUCGGGUUGUAAAGCACUUUAAGCGAGGAGGAAUGGCUCUGGGUUAAUACCCUUGAGCAGUGACGUUACUCGCAGAAUAAGCACCGGCUAACUGUGUGCCAGCCGCCGCCGUAACAC
rnacentral:rRNA from 1 species